UGAAGGAUCUUCAAGUGAAUAUUCUUCCGUGAGAUAUUUGCACAAACAUUUGGUGCUUUCAUUGAGAGCACGAGUUAUACUUAAUACGUGCUCUUGAAUCAAAGGAAUCUGUUUCCUCUUUUUUAUUGCUCAACCAAAGCCUUCUAAAUAACUAUGGUUGGAAGCAAACACAUGAGAAGCAAGACUGCCACAAUGGCUUAAUCCGCAACAGGGCAAAGCCACUCGUCCCAUGAUCCCACAAUCGAAAUGGCAGCGCAGCCUCCUCAUGACGGCACCACUGUGAACAUACCGUAGGCUCAUGCCGCAGCGCCACCACAUGGUUCCACAGUUGAAGCCCCCCUACAACCAUAAGGCGUAGCGGCUAGAACUGGCAACUCAUCUCAUGACCCCAUCUCCGAAACAGCUGUGUAGCCACAUCAACUAGUAGCAGCCAGCGUCGCCUCAUAGCCACACGAGUCCGGUUGCAAUCUCCUUCAUAGCCCUACGGCCAGCAUCGUCCCGCCUCACGGCUCCUUAGCCAGAACCCACUUGCAGCCGCAAGGCCUAGCGGCCAGAUCCAACCACCAUCACGGCGCUACCGCCCCAAAAGGUGGACAUCCCAUCAAGGCAAUCUCACCACCAUCACAAGUUACAGUAUGAUCUUGGAACAACUUCACUCAUUCCCUUCUUUGCCGCUGUGCUCAACGUACACUCCCGCGUUUACCUCCAACGAAACCCUAG
rnacentral:lncRNA from 1 species